rnacentral:rRNA from 1 species
UUCCAGAGAUGGAUUGGUGCCUUCGGGAACUGUGAGACAGGUGCUGCAUGGCUGUCGUCAGCUCGUGUUGUGAAAUGUUGGGUUAAGUCCCGCAACGAGCGCAACCCUUAUCCUUUGUUGCCAGCGGUCCGGCCGGGAACUCAAAGGAGACUGCCAGUGAUAAACUGGAGGAAGGUGGGGAUGACGUCAAGUCAUCAUGGCCCUUACGACCAGGGCUACACACGUGCUACAAUGGCGCAUACAAAGAGAAGCGACCUCGCGAGAGCAAGCGGACCUCAUAAAGUGCGUCGUAGUCCGGAUUGGAGUCUGCAACUCGACUCCAUGAAGUCGGAAUCGCUAGUAAUCGUGGAUCAGAAUGCCACGGUGAAUACGUUCCCGGGCCUUGUACACACCGCCCGUCACACCAUGGGAGUGGGUUGCAAAAGAAGUAGGUAGCUUAACCUUCGGGAGGGCGCUUACCACUUUGUGAUUCAUGACUGGGGUGAAGUCGUAACAAGGUAACCGUAGGGGAACCUGCGGUUGGAUCAC